CUCCAUAAGAGCCCAGCCCUACCUUCUUCCCCCAUCGCAAUCCUCUCCCCAUCUAAUAGCUCAAAAGCUGUCCUAACCCUAAUUUUCUCUUCGAAAAUCUCUAUCUUUCAACUGAUUUGUCUGCAAUCUCCUCGGAACCCUUGCUGUUAGCCGUUCUCUUUCGAAACCCUAAUUUGCUCAACCAUUGCCUGAUCUUUUGAAUCUCUCUCGAUUUGUCGACAGUUCCAUAAAUCGAAGAUAAUAAAAAUUGUUAGAAAAAUUUUUAAAUUUGGUUCUUAGCUAUAUUUUGUUUUUUGUUUUUCAAAUUUUGUUGAUAUUCAAGAUACUGUGCACUAAAU
rnacentral:misc_RNA from 1 species